GACUGUUUACCAAAAACACAGCACUCUGCUAACUCGUAAGAGGAUGUAUAGGGUGUGACGCCUGCCCGGUGCUCGAAGGUUAAUUGAUGGGGUUAGCAUUAGCGAAGCUCUUGAUCGAAGCCCGAGUAAACGGCGGCCGUAACUAUAACGGUCCUAAGGUAGCGAAAUUCCUUGUCGGUUAAAUACCGACCUGCAUGAAUGGCGUAACGAGAUGGGAGCUGUCUCAAAGAGGGAUCCAGUGAAAUUGUAGUGGAGGUGAAAAUUCCUCCUACCCGCGGCAAGACGGAAAGACCCCGUGGACCUUUACUACAGCUUGACACUGCUAUUUGGAUAAGAAUGUGCAGGAUAGGUGGGAGGCUUUGAGUAUAUGACGCCAGUUGUAUAUGAGCCAUUGUUGAGAUACCACUCUUUCUUAUUUGGGUAGCUAACCAGCUUGAGUUAUCCUCAAGUGGGACAAUGUCUGGUGGGUAGUUUGACUGGGGCGGUCGCCUCCCAAAUAAUAACGG
rnacentral:rRNA from 1 species